GGAGCGUUGAAUACAUGAUCUCAAAGAAAUCAUUAAGUUGUUAUAGUUACAAAAAAUAUAUAUAAACAAAAUGUUGGAUAGAAACUAGAUAAAAAUUAACUACAUAGCUAUUAUCCAGAUGUGUCGCUUUCUAUGCGGGCAUAUUGGUUUUGUUCUGUGCUGUCUUUCCUGGCUAUCAUAUAUACUCCGUUUGAUCCCUGUCUUCAUGGUCUGUCGUCAUGUCUGUAUUGUGAGUGCUUUGUCAGGUCCUUUUUUGAGUCUUUUAAUUCAUACUUCGAUGGUGUGGGUAUCUCAAUAACUGCAUGGAACUCACGGUACGGCAUGGAGAGAGACCAUGAGGAUGAGAAUUAGGGCGGAUUAUAUAUGAUGGGUG
rnacentral:lncRNA from 1 species